rnacentral:rRNA from 1 species
GAUGAACGCUGGCGGCGUGCCUAAUACAUGCAAGUCGAGCGAACAGAUGAGGAGCUUGCUCCUCUGACGUUAGCGGCGGACGGGUGAGUAACACGUGGAUAACCUACCUAUAAGACUGGGAUAACUUCGGGAAACCGGAGCUAAUACCGGAUAAUAUAUUGAACCGCAUGGUUCAAUAGUGAAAGACGGUUUUGCUGUCACUUAUAGAUGGAUCCGCGCCGCAUUAGCUAGUUGGUAAGGUAACGGCUUACCAAGGCAACGAUGCGUAGCCGACCUGAGAGGGUGCUCGGCCACCCUGGAGCUGAGACACGGUCCAGACUCCUACGGGAGGCAGCAGUAGGGAAUCUUCCGCAAUGGGCGAAAGCCUGACGGAGCAACGCCGCGUGAGUGAUGAAGGUCUUCGGAUCGUAAAGCUCUGUUAUUAGGGAAGAACAAAUGUGUAAGUAACUAUGCACGUCUUGACGGUACCUAAUCAGAAAGCCACGGCUAACUACGUG